AUGUACAUUCCUACAACAUAGCAUUAAUCCAAUGGAUCCCAUUAAAACUCUGCAGUUAAGAGCGCUCAGGAUAGAGUAGUACUGGGAUGGGUGACCACCCAAGAAGUCCCAGUGUUUUACAUG
rfam:Picea glauca, whole genome shotgun sequence.